GAUUGAGCCCAGGAGUUGGAGGCUGCACUGAGCUUUGAUGGCACCACUCUACUCCAGCCUGGGUAAGAAAGACCUUGUCUCUUAAUAAAAAAAGAUUGAUUCUAGGACUGUAGAAUAGAUGAACAGCAUGGGAUAUGAGGGAAAUCCUCAGCAGUAUUAAUUUUGCAUUCCAAUUUCAGGUUGACGGCACUUUGUUGGCUAUCGAUGGCUUUUUGUUUUAAAGGCUUUUAUCUUGAGAACAUGAUGUCUGGAGUUAAAGCUCUUUAGAGGAUCUGAAGUGACCUUGAUGGACAGUGGAAGAAAUCACAACAUGGAAUUCCUUGAAUAAAAAUGUAUUGACUUUAAAUAA